CGUAGUUCAUUAAAACUAAUACAAAGCUAUACCCUUGUGCAAUCCGUUGUAAUGGCUCGAUGGGGUCCAUGC